AGAGUUUGAUCAUGGCUCAGAUUGAACGCUGGCGGCAGGCCUAACACAUGCAAGUCGAGCGGUAGAGAGGUGCUUGCACCUCUUGAGAGCGGCGGACGGGUGAGUAAUACCUAGGAAUCUGCCUGGUAGUGGGGGAUAACGUUCGGAAACGGACGCUAAUACCGCAUACGUCCUACGGGAGAAAGCAGGGGACCUUCGGGCCUUGCGCUAUCAGAUGAGCCUAGGUCGGAUUAGCUAGUUGGUGAGGUAAUGGCUCACCAAGGCUACGAUCCGUAACUGGUCUGAGAGGAUGAUCAGUCACACUGGAACUGAGACACGGUCCAGACUCCUACGGGAGGCAGCAGUGGGGAAUAUUGGACAAUGGGCGAAAGCCUGAUCCAGCCAUGCCGCGUGUGUGAAGAAGGUCUUCGGAUUGUAAAGCACUUUAAGUUGGGAGGAAGGGCAUUAACCUAAUACGUUAGUGUUUUGACGUUACCGACAGAAUAAGCACCGGCUAACUCUGUGCCAGCAGCCGCGGUAAUACAGAGGGUGCAAGCGUUAAUCGGAAUUACUGGGCGUAAAGCGCGCGUAGGUGGUUUGUUAAGUUGAAUGUGAAAUCCCCGGGCUCAACCUGGGAACUGCAUCCAAAACUGGCAAGCUAGAGUAUGGUAGAGGGUAGUGGAAUUUCCUGUGUAGCGGUGAAAUGCGUAGAUAUAGGAAGGAACACCAGUGGCGAAGGCGACUACCUGGACUGAUACUGACACUGAGGUGCGAAAGCGUGGGGAGCAAACAGGAUUAGAUACCCUGGUAGUCCACGCCGU
rnacentral:rRNA from 1 species